rnacentral:rRNA from 1 species
AGUGAACGCUGGCGGUAGGCCUAACACAUGCAAGUCGAACGGCAGCACAGUAAGAGCUUGCUCUUACGGGUGGCGAGUGGCGGACGGGUGAGGAAUACAUCGGAAUCUACUUUUUCGUGGGGGAUAACGUAGGGAAACUUACGCUAAUACCGCAUACGACCUACGGGUGAAAGCAGUGGAUCUUCUGACCUUGCGCGAUUGAAUGAGCCGAUGUCGGAUUAGCUAGUUGGCGGGGUAAAGGCCCACCAAGGCGACGAUCCGUAGCUGGUCUGAGAGGAUGAUCAGCCACACUGGAAGUGAGACACGGUCCAGACUCCUACGGGAGGCAGCAGUGGGGAAUAUUGGGCAAUGGGCGCAAGCCUGAUCCAGCCAUACCGCGUGGGUGAAGAAGGCCUUCGGGUUGUAAAGCCCUUUUGUUGGGUAAGAAAAGCAGCAGGUUAAUACCCCGCUGUUCUGACGGUACCCAAAGAAUAAGCACCGGCUAACUUCGUG